rnacentral:rRNA from 1 species
GACGAACGCUGGCGGCGUGCCUAAUACAUGCAAGUAGAACGCUGAAGGAGGAGCUUGCUUCUCUGGAUGAGUUGCGAACGGGUGAGUAACGCGUAGGUAACCUGCCUGGUAGCGGGGGAUAACUAUUGGAAACGAUAGCUAAUACCGCAUAAGAGUAGAUGUUGCAUGACAUUUGCUUAAAAGGUGCAAUUGCAUCACUACCAGAUGGACCUGCGUUGUAUUAGCUAGUUGGUGGGGUAACGGCUCACCAAGGCGACGAUACAUAGCCGACCUGAGAGGGUUAUCGGCCACACUGGGACUGAGACACGGCCCAGACUCCUACGGGAGGCAGCAGUAGGGAAUCUUCGGCAAUUGACGGAAGUCUGACCGAGCAACGCCGCGGGAGUGAAGAAGGGUUUCGGAUCGUAAAGCUCUGUUGUAAGAGAAGAACGAGUGUGAGAGUGGAAAGUUCACACUGUGACGGUAGCUUACCAGAAAGGGACGGCUAACUACGUG